GAGUAAAGAUUUCGGUCGCUUUGGGAGGAGCUCGCUUACUAUCAGCUUGUUGGUAGGGUAAUGGCCUACCAAGGCUAUGACGGUUAGGGGGUGUGAGAGCAUGACCCCCAGCAUUGGCACUGAAACACUGGCCAAACACCUACGGGUGGCUGCAGUCGAGAAUCUUCCACAAUGGGGGAAACCCUGAUGGAGCGAUGCUGCGUGCGGGAUGAAGGCCUUCGGGUUGUAAACCGCUUUUGUAGGGGACGAAAUUUUUGACGGUACCCUUUCGAAUAAGAGGUUGCUAACUCUGUGCCAGCAGCAGCGGUAAUACAGAGACCUCAAGCGUUAUCCGGAUUUACUGGGCGUAAAGCGUCUGUAGGGGGUUUAUUAAGUUCCAAGUAAAAUUUCAAGGCUCAACUUUGAAUUCGCUUGGAAAACUAAUAAACUGGAGUCUAGCAGAGGUGCAUGGAACUUGUGGUGUAGGAGUGAAAUCCGUUGAUAUCACAAGGAACACCAAAGGCGAAGGCAUUGCACUGGGCUAGCACUGACCCUGAGAGACGAAAGCGUGGGGAGCAAAACGGAUUAGAUACCCGUGUAGUCCACGCCCUAAACGAUGAAUGCUAAAUGUUCGGGGAUUCGACCCCCUGGGUGUUACAGCUAACGCGUUAAGCAUUCCGCCUGGGAAGUACGGCCGCAAGGCUAAAACUCAAAGGAAUAGACGGGGAUCCGCACAAGCGGUGGAGCGUCUGGUUUAAUUCGACAGUAAGCGUGGUACCUCACCAGGGUUUGACAUCCCUUGACAGCCUUGGAAACAAGGUUUCCUUCGGGCAAGGUGACAGGUGCUGCAUGGUCGUCGUCAGUUCGUGCCGUGAGGUGUUCCGUUAAGUCGGGAAACGAACGAAACCCCUAUUGCAUGUUACAAUUUCUCAUGCAAGACUGCCCGGAUAUACUGGGAGGAAGGUGGGGAUGACGUCAGAUCUGCAUGGUCCUUAUACCCUGGGCGACACAGGCGCUACAAUGGCAGAGACAAAGGGUUGCAAAACCGCAAGGUGAAGCUAAUCCCAAAAACUUUGUCUAAGUUCGGAUUGAAGGCUGCAAUUCGCCUUCAUGAAGCUGGAAUCGCUAGUAAUCGUGAAUCAGCCACGUCACGGUGAAUAUGUUCCCGGAUCUUGUACUCACCGCCCGUCACACCAAGAGAGUUGGUAGCCCCCGAAG
rnacentral:rRNA from 1 species